AGAGAUGGGUAGCAUGGGGUAUUCGGCAAAACUCUUUAUUUUAUCACUAUUGUGUCAUCACUGGCUGUGUAAUGCUGUUAACAGUGCAAGAUUAUCUGAAGUGGCUGAUGUGCUCUCAUGGGAGGGUGUGCCUGACUCCAUUUUUGAAGGUUUGUUGGGUGGUGAGCUUCAGAAUGAUGGCCUCUCAAAGGAUACAAAUGUGCAAAAUGUAACAAACCUGGA